rnacentral:rRNA from 1 species
GAUGAACGCUAGCUACAGGCUUAACACAUGCAAGUCGAGGGACCGGCGCACGGGCGAGUAACACGUAUCCCACCUGCCCUUUACUCGGGGAUAGCCUUUCGAAAGAAAGAUUAAUACCCGACGCUAAGGACGGGGAUGCUUUCCAUUAGGUUGUUGGUGAGGUAACGGCUCACCAAGCCUUCGAUGGAUAGGGGUUCUGAGAGGAAGGUCCCCCACAUUGGAACUGAGACACGGUCCAAACUCCUACGGGAGGCAGCAGUGAGGAAUAUAUGUCAAUGGGCGUUAGCCUGAACCAGCCAAGUAGCGUGAAGGAUGAAGGCUUAUGGGUCGUAAACUUCUUUUAUAUAAGAAUAUGUAUUAUAUGAAUAAGGAUCGGCUAACUCCGUGCCAGCAGCCGCGGUAAUUC